rnacentral:lncRNA from 1 species
UUUUUUUUUUUUUUUUUUUUGCUUCUGUAUACUUUCACGCUCCUGCUAAGAUGUUACCACACUGGUCAAAACUGUACAAAUUAUAUUAAUUAACAAAGAUUUAAGAGUUAUUCAAACAAGCUCUCAUUAAAUAAAAACAAUAAACAAUAAACAAAAUUUCAAAAAAAUAAAAACUACUCCCUCCGUCCCACUUUGAUAGUCCCGUUUUCCUUUUUCGUCUAUCCCAAAUUGUAGUCCACUUUUCAAUUGAAGAAUGUAGUUGUAUUUUAAUUUUUCUAAAAUACCCUUAUUCAAUGUAAGUUGUUGUUACUAUAAACUAGAGGUGGCAAAUCAACCCACUUAAUUAAAUUUACCCAUACCCGCCCAUGAAUAGAUGGGUAUGGGUAUCUUAAAUUUUUGUAUAUGGGUAUAAAUGGGUUACCCAAUAAUACAUAUUUAUUAAAUGGGUAUUAUUGGGUAACCCAUCAAACCCAAUUAACCCAUUUAGAAUUCUCUUCCCCCCAAGUUUCUUCUUUUCCCCCACCCAUUUUUUUUCAAAUUUUUCAUUUUGUCAUGAUCUUAACUACUUUUGUUUUAUUAUUAUUAUUAUUAUUAUUUGUUGGUUUUAUCUUAUUAUUUUAUUUUCUCUUAGUUUGUUAACUUGCUCAUUUUUCAGCAUUACUAAUUUAUUAUAAAUUUUAGCCUAUUUUCGUAUCUUUCUAAAAUGAAAUUUUAAAUUUAUAUAUGAAAAAAAUGUUAGGGGUUCAAAAUUUUUGGAUUAAGUUUUUAUACUAAUUUUUAUAGUACUUAGUUCAAAUUUUUAUAUUCUUAUUAUUCAAUUAUUAAAUAAUACGUAAUUUUGUGACAUAGAGUAUAAAUGAAAAAAAAUUGGUAAUUAAGUUUAUUGAACAUUAUAAAUAAAUAUUUAAAACUAAUGAUGAGUACAAAGAGUGGUAUAAAUUGAUAACUUAGUUUGCAAAAAUGAAUUUAAAUGAAUUUACAAAAAAUUAAAAUAAAUGGGUUAUAAAUGGGUAAUUGGGUUACCCAAUUCAUUUUCUGACUUACCCAUUUAUACCCAUCUAAUUAAAUGGGUAUAAAUGAGUUGACUCACUUAUACCCAUUACCCAUUUUACCCAACCCAAACCCGCCCAAGUCACCCAUUUUGACACCUCUACAGUGUAAACCUACUCCAUUUAAUGAGAGUUGAUUCUUUUUUUACUAUCAAUUCAAGUUCCCAUAAAGUUGUAUUCUAAUUAAUGUGCGGGUAUUUUAGGAAAAUAGUUACCUAAAUUGAUUGUUCUAAUAAAAUUAACUACUUUUUAUUAAAUUGUGUGAAAAAUAACCAAGACUAUCAAAGUGGGACGGAGGGAGUAUUAAAAAGUCACAAUCAAAGAGACUCAAGAUUGAUGUGCGUCCGCCUUUUGACACUAUGGGUUUCUGCAACAUAAACGUGUGGUUACCUAAUAGAAACCAACUCUAUAUCAACAGCCAUUGCCACCUUGGAAACAAUUAACUGAAAGAGAGUCUGUGGAGUGUCUCACACAAUAUGGAACAGCUUUUAUUUAUCUAUUUAUUUGCACAUUUUUUGACUGCACUACUUCUUCUACUUUAAUCCUUUAAUUAAAGACAAAAUUAAAGAAUAUGAGUUUAACCUCCCCAAACUGUAUAAUUUACCAUUUACACACCCAACGACUUUGCCAAAAUUAUUAGUUGUCAACAUUAAGGGUGUAAACUAUCUGAAACAAGUCUAACACAUUAGUGUUCAAAUGAACUAAACUUGAACAAGCUUUUAUGGAAUCGAACCUAAGUUGACUUCGAGCAGAUUGAACUUUUUACAUGUAAAUCUCACUUAUAUGCUAAUCUUUUUUUUUAAGUGUAUGUAAGAGGUCUCAAAUCCAGAAUCUCUUACUUUUAUUUCCGUCUCUCAUAUCACUUAACUUAUUUUCUCCCCAACUUAUAUGCCAAUUGAGUCAAACUUGAGUUGAAUUUAAAAUUUUAUCAAAUAAAAAUUAAUGUUAAAAUUUAAGUUGAUUAACUGACAAAUUAAAUUUGAAUGAAUUCUUACUAAGUCGUGAUCGAUUCAAGAAUCAAUUAAAUUUAAGUCUGUCUUUCAGUCCUAGUCAACGUAAGAAGAGAUCCGAAACCUGUGCAAGAUGUCUUAAGAAAUAGCCAAAACUUAAUUUUGGUAAGGGGUCCAUAAUCAAUUCAGCAGGGCCAUUCCAUAAUGGAUACAAGUACACCCGGGCCACCUGAUCCUUUGUGGCCAGAUGCGAAGACAAAAUAAAGCCGAGGUGGCCAGCCUAAAAUUAAUGACGGCAUUAUGGGCCAGCCCAUAAUUCCACAAAUGACUGGCUGGUUCAGCGUCAUAGACGACUAGCAAUAUCGACAUGGGAAACUAUUUAACAUUUUCAACAAUCCUAGUAGCGAUCUUGGACAAACUCCCUGUAGAUUUUUUGCUGAUCGUUUGUACGUCCUGGACAAGAGCCCUUUUCCCUAAUUUGAACUUGUUUUAUAUCCUGAAAUUUUAAAAAAGUAUUGUCCCAAAAAUCCAAUUUAAGUAAUAGAAACAUAAGUUGGGUAACAAUAUUUGAUUUUCUGGUUCAAACUUUGAGCCUCCUUCCCCUCUCUAUCAUUCACUUUUAUAAGGUUUAAAAUCUCCCGUUAAAUCAAGAAAAAUUUAAAAAACAUUAGAUGACUCAGUUUGGUCUAUGAUUAUUGAUAUGCUUCAAUACUACAAGCCCAGUAUUAUUUCCCAUGCUUACUAAGGGUGCGUUUGAUAAAAUUGAAAUCUGAAAACUGAAAUCUGAAAACUGAAAUAUAAAAUCUAAAAUCUGAAUCCAUUAAGUUAUUGAAUUGUUAAGUAUUAAAUAUAAUACAUCUGAGUGCAAGUCACAUUCAGUGAUGAGUGAAUAGUUUAUCACUUAAUUUUGAGAGCAAGUUUUGCCUAAAAAAUUCGAUGCCACUUAAUUAAUUCAGAUGUUCAAUUUUUCGUUAUCAAACGGUCUGAAUAUAUUAAGAUCUAAAUCCAUUAAAUUUAAGUGUUGAACUGGAUUAUCAAACAAGGGCCUAAGUCAACAAUUUUGUGAAAACAUUUAGAAGGAGAAGCAACAUAAUUUGACCUUUCAGUUUCAGUGCAAGUAAUCUUUUCCCUAUAGAAUUUUGAGUAAUAUAGUAAUAUUGCGUUAUGAUAAGGAAUUAAACUAAAAUAGACCAUGCAAGCUAGGAAAAUGGGAAAGAUCAUGCAUAUACAUACAACAGGCGAGAGAUUCCAGCCUAGCACCUUUAUUGGGUCACUUUGUUAAUCAGCCUUAAGUGCUGAGAGGAAUCUGCGGAUGGUGAAGAAUUAAUACUUAGUUUUAUCCGUGACUUGCGUUUUGCUGAUUAAGUUUUACACAUGAAUCAUAAUAUUUGAAAAUUUAGUCCUCUCUCUAAGUUCCAUAUUCUUCAAUUUCUGUAGCAUAGUUUUAGACAACUUGAACCGUAGUUUAGGUGCGUUUUGAAAAGUACAAAGGAAAAGGAAUUAAAAAAUAGAAAAAAGAAAAAGGGGAAAAACAAAGUUACACUCGCUCCUCCGUGUAAUCUGUAAUAGAAGUAGGGGUGGCAAUGGCCGGUCACCCGCCCCGCAGGGGACUAUUGGAGUGGGGGUUGGGGUGGGCACGGGGGACGGGGAUAUAUUCCCCUGCCCCAACCCCCGGCCUGCUACCCGUUUGAAACAAAAAAUAUAUAUAUAAUGAUAUUAUCAAUUAUAUAACUAAUUAUACAUGUUUAUUAAUAAAAAUUAUUAAUUAUUUAUACUAAAUUUAUUAAUACAUUUAUAUUAAAUUCCUAACUACACUUAAUACAAUAACACUUUUUUCUUAAAAAAAAUAUAAUAAUAAUUUAGUGAUUGUAUUUGUAUCAAAAGUGAAAAUUUGAUUAUUUUAGUUAUAUUUUUUUUAUCAUAUUGGAUUGUAUUCAAAUAACUUUUAUUUAAUUAUUUUUAUGAGUUUCAAUUGUGAAGUUACAAUGAAUAAUAAUUUGGUGAUGUUGAUAUUUUAGCUCAAUUUUAAUUAUAAUAAAUUUGUUUUAAUCCCACGGGUGCUUCCGCGGGAGAAGCGGAGCGGGGCAGGGGACGGGGUAAUUAAUAGGCAAUGGGGCGGGGGACGGGAGAUCCUUUCCCGUCUCACCCCCGCCCCAUUGACACCCCUAAAUAGAAGGGAUUAAAACCGUAAGAAGACGAAUGCUAUAAACAAAAGGUUUGGGCACUUUUAGUUUGUAAAUGGAUUUCAAUCAACAUUAUUCGAUGAGUUAAUUAUUUAUUCUAGUGCUGAUGAUUUUAAGCUGGUGCUGAAUAUGGGUAUUCAUCCAUGGUUUCAUCGUUAGGUAAUGACAAAUCCUUGCGCCUAUUAGGUGUUUGAUAAAAUGCACAGCAGGAUAGCUUCAAUAAACUAAGUUCGACAGCUGGAGCUACUGGUCAUUCAGUUGACAAAGUUAUAAUUAAUCAUUGAGCAAUUUAUAGAAAAUCCUAAAAAUUAUCGGCAGUGAUGCUCAUAUUAUCCAAUCCAAUCUCGUUAACUUUCUCAAAAAGCAUCAUUUUCUUCCAACCCUAUCAGUGUCCAUUAAUGAAGUGCCAUAGUUUAUCUAGUGUAGAGUGCGGACGAGACCAUUAUUAUUUCACGUUUAGUCCUUUCGCCAUUCUUUCAAGUGAAUCAACAAGUCUAUUAAAGAAGAAUCCUUUUUCACAUGCUUUAUGCCACUCACAACUCAGUGCAAGAAUAGACCUACCUCAUUUCAUUUAACAAAACGCAAGUAUACUCACUCACCAAUUAAAAAGCAUAUACUAGUACAAUAUUCAAGGGAAUUUGGAGGUUGCGCUCCUGCCAUUACUGCGCGUCAUGUGCCAUGUGAUGCCUAGCAUAUAGCCGAAGCGGGUGAAAUUUAGAGGAAGCUCAAUGGCAACCGAAUCAAAGGGGGAAUUCCUCCAUCCAGGUUCACUGCAUACACCUAUAUCGGUUAUUCCCCUAGAGUACAGUGUUGCUGCUUCUCAAAUGUGGUAUGAGAAUUGUGUCUAAUAGCAACCAGUUGAUGUAUUCAUAUAAUUUGCAUCCAAUGGAGCAUCAGAAUAUAAGUUGACAUCUGGAAUGAGAAUUAUUGAAGAAUGACAAGGGCCAGGAGGAAAAGGACCGUGCACCUAAGCCUUCCUUGUUUCCCGGUGAAUAUAUAUUAUGAGAGCGAUGGUGGUAUUAAUUUAUUGUCUAAAAUGAACUUGGGCUAAUAUGGUUAACGAGUGAGCAGGGCUUCGUUUUCUGUCAUUUUCAUUUAGUUGUCUUGUUCCCUCCAUCACAUUUUUUUUUUCCAUAAAAAUUUAUCCAAGUGUCCAUCUAAUUAUAUAUCUGUAGUUUCAGGGGCGGAUUUACAGUCCCUUAAAUUUCUAUAAGACCCAUAAAAAAUUGAUAUAACUUUAAGUAUGCCUCCUGAAGUUUUGUAUAUCCAUUGAUUUAUAUGCUCCUAAAGUUACCUUUGAUUUUAUCUGUUGUUACAGCUAUCGUAAAAGGGCUUUUUCAGUUAUGAAUAUAGUGAAGAAUCGGUUACAAAAUAGAAUGGAAGACACUUGAAUGAAUAAUUAUUUAGUUACUUAUAUUGAGAAAAAUAUACUUAGUGAAAAUGAAAAGGUUGUAAACCGUUAUCAAUAUAUGAAAGCUCGUCAUGAGCAAUUGUAAAUGGUUCAGUUUGCUUUUUGAAAUAAAAUUAUUAUUACAUUAAUAAUUUUGAGUUUGUCUUUUUAUAUUUUUCAUGGACUAUAUGUAUCAUUUAUACUUAUUUGUACUCGUUGGUGAAUAUUUUUUUCUUAAAAAACUAGAAAAAGAGUAGAUAAAAAAUUUUAGAAUAGCUUUUGCCUCCACUGAAAAUUUUUUCUGGAUACGCCACUGUAUAGUUUCAUGCACGUAUAGAAUAUACAAACGAACAAUCAUUAAGUGACCAAUUAAUGCUGGUUGAAGCCGAGCAUCGGUAGUUCUGUUCAAGAGGACGGUCACAGUUCACAAGAAUAUUGAAGUAGGACCACGAGAAUUGAGAAGCCGCUCAAAAUUAAUGAGGUUGGGUGGGGUUCCAUUGUGUGUUGGGAUGCAUGGGAACAAGCCCGAUGGAGACAAAUAUGCCCUCAUCAUCAACACGCUAAUUGCAAGAGCAAGAAACCGAUAUUAUUGGUCAUAAAAAGUUGUUAUUAGAGAAGGGAAAAGAAAAUAAAAUCCUUCCCUAGUCAAUUCCUCCAUUUUAAUAUCCAUCCUAACAGGCAAUCACACAUGGUUUGCCUCUACUUUCAAUCAUCUUUAGUCUUUACCCCUUUUCUAAUCAAACAUUAUUUUAGUGCCGUAUGGAUUAAUUAACACGUCCUGGCUGCCAAAUUCCUCGUGGCAUGAUUCCCAAGAGCUAGCCCAUUCUUCAUUUACCCUCUUCUCCAUCGGUCAAACUCCAACGGUCCCGAACUAGCUCUUUAAGUUGAGGUUUGCCAAUAACCAAUGGCAAGUACUCAUCACACUCGGGAGAAGCAGAAGAAAGGAGGGGUGAUGUAUGUCUACAAGUUAGACACCGGAAAUCUGAAGAAGCCCUCGGAUUCAUCUUCCGCGAAGAAGGGGAUUAUUCAUUCAGGCAUCAGCUGGGGAUUAAGGAGGUCUAAAACCGUUCGGGAAGUGGUUGAUCAUGGCAGAGUUAAGACUAGCGUGGAAGACGAAACCAAGGAAGUAGUGGUGGAAUCAAGAAAAUCAGUUUCCAGCGAGGCAGUUGCGGGGGGUAGGAAGUCGGUGUCACAUAUAGAAGUGAACGUGGCAUCGGUGGCUUCAUUCCUUCAGGUGAAGGUUUUGGUUACGGACAUGCCAGGGUUCAUGCAGGUUCAUGCCUUCCGGUGCGCCAGGGGAACCUACGAUAGUCUCGAGAAAUUUAGCGCCAAGCACAUGGCCUAUAACAUCAAGAAGGUAUGGCCCAACUAAUUUCUUUGUGUAUAUAUACAUAUAUAUGUAUGUGCUUCUGUUCUUGAUGAAUUUUGACUGAUAUCAAUAGAAACAGCUUAAUUAAAAUGUUUCAAGAAAAUACUACUGUUGCAGCGUUUUCUGCUCGAUUGUUUUCACUGAGUUUACCACCUUUGUUAAUUGAUUAUGAUUCUGCAUGUACUCUGGUUUUCUGCUGAAGUACAUUAUAUAUAUAUAUAUUGUCUCUGGAUAACUUAGAAAAGUAAAAUGACGGACAAAAAGAAGUGGCCGGACAUGUACUCUGAUUCAAUCAUUCGGCAUGCAUGUCUGAGCUUGAACUUUUGCCGCAUUGGACGCCAAAGACAACAGAGGUAGUAGAAGACAACAGCAACAAGAUGCCCCAAUAACUUUUGUUUAAACAAAGAAUAAUAAUAUGAUGUUUUCUUUGUUUCAUCCUACUACAUCUCGUACAAGUAUUUGGUUGAGCACUCCUUUGCACCGUCAAGAAACAUUUGAGACCUGUCUCGAUACCCAUGCCUUCCUUCGUCAGAAAUAAUAGCCCAGCGAACCCAGUUGUGAAGCACAUGUGUGUGUCGGGCCUUUGAAAUCUGACAAAUGGAUCUCAUUUUGCAUUUUGCUGCAACCUUUGAAUUAAUUGCUGGUCGAGAUUGUAGGUAAAAAUGUUUGGUAUGGAUCUCUGAACAAGUUACAAUAAUUGAAUAAGCCAUCUUAGAUUACUGCAAGAACUUAAUCAUCAUUGCAAAAUGGUCUCUUCUAAUCAUGUGCCAAUUGCCCGGAUUAAGCCCGUCUUACCGUAUAAAUUGGAAAAUACGCACUUCUCCACGUUACACACAGACUAUUCUCUUUUUAUCUUUUCGGGUCAAAUAAUAGGCUGUCUAUUCUCUUUUCAUCGGUAGAAAGAAUGCAUAGAAAUGGGCUACCAUAAUACAAGCAUAAGCUUUUGAUAAUGUGCAGGAAUUUGACAAGGUUUAUGGGCCGGCCUGGCAUUGUAUAGUGGGCUCAAGUUUUGGAUCAUUUGUCACGCACGCAACGGGUUGUUUCCUCUAUUUCUCGAUGGAAAAGCUGUAUAUUUUAGUGUUCAAGACGAAAGUUGAAAGAGCUCUGGAACAGUCCUAAAUUGAACGGGCAGAUGUAGAUUUUAAAUCCUCAUCGACGCCAUUGUUAUCGUAAUUUUUUUUUUUUUUGGUCUUCAGUCUUAAUUUUUCUUUUGGGGACAGUUGACUGGUACUUAUUGUUUAGCGGAGAAAUGUAUUUUGUCUGAAAACUUGUAAAUAGUGAGGGGAUGAUGGGAGUUACUUGAAGCGCAUUGAUUGAUCAUGUAUUGGUAUUAGCAGCAGCUCAGGCGUGUGUAAAUUGCAUUCGCCUAAAAGUCUAAUCAAAGUGCUGCUGGGCUAUUGAGAAUUUUCAAUUUUCAACAAGAAUCAAGCGGUGUCAGACUAUAAUUCAAGAAGUUGACCGUCUCUUUCAGGGUAGAAAUUUUCCAAUUUCUCGUGUUUGAGUUGCUCUGCCAUAUGGAAUCCCAAUUAAUCACAACUGCUAAAAGUCUUUCUUUCCUUUUUUUUUUUUUUUUUUUUACUUCCUUUGGUUUGUAAUACGUAACCAAGGAUCUUUAAGCACUUGUCUAUACAUGACUAGACUUGUGUAGAACCUUGGAAUUCUGUACUGAGAAAAGACCAAUUCGGCAUUGCUACUUUCCCACCGAAUUUUUCCCUUUUAAAAAUCAUCAUAUGAACGUGCUUUUAAAUUUUUGUGAAUUACCUUAAAAAGGUAAAUGUACAUGCUUGAUGUUUCUGCGAACAUGAUUGAGACUAGCUACGAGAGGUUUCCUUUGGAAGAUAUGAUUUGAGUAUAAAAGCAAGAAAACAUGGUAAGUGUUAGGUUCAUGAGUAAAAAAUUAUGUCUCGCAUUGAUUCGAGAAAUGAAAAAAAAGUGGUUAAUAUGUAAGUAAGGGUCCAAGACCUAAUAAAUUAAGCUUUUGCAUCAGAAUUGAGUUCCUGACUUACAUAUUGGCCUCUUUAGUGAACUCUCUCGAGGCGUUUCUCCCUAUCAAAUUGGUAUCAGAAUUUCAGGUUGCGAGACUGAACUACUCAUGGGCAAGUAGAUUCUUCUAAAAGUUGAACCAAUGAAAAUUCUCUUCUUGAUGGUGGACCGAAGUGCCAAAGUGCUAAGAAAUUUGGUUAGUGUAGGACCAGGUGUGCCAUGGGUCUAACAGGGAUCUAGAAUGCAGUUUGAAUCUCUGUUUUCAAACUCGGACCGGACCAGCCGGUCGAACCGGGAACCGGCCAGGUAGCCGGUCCGAGUCACAUUAAAAAACCGGAAAUUUAAAACCCGGUCAAAAACCGGGUUUGACCGGGAAAAAAAUCGGUUUUUCCGGUUCAACAGUAAUUUUUUAAAAAAAAAUUUAAACUUUUUAAUAUUAUGUUUUGACCCCCUAAAUUGUUAAAACUUAUUGAUAUACCUCAAAUAUUUGAUACUUUAUAAAUAUUGUCCUAAAAUUUGAUGUUAUUUUUCAAUUAAAUUCAUAAUUUUAAUUCUAAACUUGUUAAUAUUUAUUAAAUAAUAUAAAUUGCUACUUGAUUGUUCUAAUUUCUUUGUAUUUUCUUGUUAAAUAUAUUUGAAACAUCAAAUAUAUAUGGAUAUACCUUUAUUAAUAUCAAUAUAUUAUUAGAUAUUAUAUUUUAAUUUUUAAAUAAUUUUUAUUUAUGACGUCAUCCGGUUCGACCCCUAUCGACCCCCGGUCGAACCCAUUGACCCCUGACCUCGGCCGAGUCGCUAUCCGGUCCGGUUCUGAAAACAUAGGUUUGAAUGUUGAAAAAGAGUGGGUCCAUAUUAAGGAGAAGAGGUGACCUUAGAUGAUAAGGUGGACUUGUGUUGAGUAUUAAAAUGGAUUCGAAGAAGAACUUGUAAAUGAGAUGGAAAAUGCAUUUUAAAUAUUGAAGAAGAGUGGAGUCCAUAUUUGGAAAAAGAAGUGACCUUAGAUGAUAAGGUAUGCUUGUAUUGAGUAUUAAAAUGAGUUCGAAAAAGAGCUUGUAAAUGAGAUGGACAAAGAGCGGUUAAUAUGUAAGUAAGGGUUCAAGGCCUAAUAGUUUAAAAUUUUUAAUCAGAGUUUGGUUUCUGACUUACAUAUUGAAUGUUUUGAUGGACUCUCUCGAGAUGUUUCUUCCCAUUAGUAAGUAGUAGGGAUUUCAAGGUAGGAGAGACGUAAGACAGGAAGAUAAAUAAUGGAACAUCUAAAUGGUACUACUAAUAGAGUUCUAUGUUAAUAUCUGCCCGUUCUAGAGCUAUCGAGUACGAUGCAUGCCUUCCAUGCCUCUUGGCCUCUCUAAUCGAUCAACUAGCCUUAAAAUCCAUUCAGCCAAUCCGGCCUACUCAGUAAUCUGUUUAGUUCUCAGAGAAGAUAUAUAAUGAGAAUCGCUUUUUAUUAUUCUUCAGAAGAGUUCUAGAGUUAUGCAAAUUGAACACUAUCUAAUUCAGUGCAUGAAAUAAUUGUCCUGUAUUCGAAAACCCCACCUAAAAGAACCAAAGCCAAUUUAUUAAAAAGUUGCCAGUAUUGGGUACGCGGACAAUAGCAUGAAACAGAGAAAGGCGGUUGAAUUGGAGUAACCAUGAAUUUGGUAGCUAUGGAUCACAUGAAAACGACUAAUGUUUUGCUUUCCUGAGCUAAAACUAAGCGAUCCGGAAAUAUGACCGGCAUGAUGCAGCUAAUGCUUAUUGGCAAUCAAACUCAAUUAGAAAUUGUUCCAAAUGGAUGGAGACAAAAAUAUUUCGGCGUCACCCCUGCCAAUAUCAAGGCAACUUGUCUAAUUUGUCUGCGCGUAAUGGUUAUCGUGGUGACUAAAAUACUCACAAGAUUUAAUGGAGCAAGUCCAACUUCAAUUGGAUGUUAUGUAGUAAUUGCUGAUUAGUUGGUUAUUGUCGUCGUCAUCAUGGGCUAAUGGUGUGGGUGAGCUGAGAAAUAUUCACGUAUGAAUUUGAUUUGUGGAAUGUAUUUAAUUAAUGUACUCUGCUAUAAGUUUGUAACUGCUGCAAAUUGAACUGGUCGUCCACGGAUGACCAAAUGUAAUGCCAAGUCAAAUACCAUUUGGCAGCGCCCGUCUUUGUUGAAACACGCCAACUCCAACCAGUAAUUGGACUCCAACAAUCCUAGCCCAGGUCCCUCCCGGGUCCCAAACCAAAUGAACAUGGAGAGACAGAGCGAGAGAGAGAGAGAGAGAGAGAGAGAGGUUUCAAGUGUAGAUUGAAUUUGAUCUCCUUUAUACAUGAUCAAGAACAAUUCCAUCCAAACCCCGGAAUUGGAAAAAACAAAAAAUCAUGAAUAUACACAAGAAUUACAACAACAAAAGCGUAAAAUAACCGGCCGGCCUACAUGCUAGAGGGAGUCCUAUUUUAUGAGCUUAAUCAAGAACAAGCUGAAAAAAUCAAAGCCAUGCCUUUGUAUAUUAGCUCCGUACACAUUCGAGACAGUUGUAUGAAUUCUCCAGAAGAACUUUUGCCACAAACAUGGAAACGAUACAAGUAGCAACACAUAAACCAUGGUCAACCUGAUCGUUCUCGACUAUAUUUCCUCCAAGCAUCACUAUAUAUAUAUAUAUAUAUAUAUAUAUAUAAACUUCUAUGGCAAAUUCCAAAAAAGAACAGAAGAAAGAAAGGGAAGGAAUCAUCGGCAUGCAGAAAAUAGCAAUAGCACUAGGACUUACGGCGGCCAUGUUUUCUCUUCUGGGAUUUGGAUGCUGGCUUGCCGCCAAAUAUGCCACAACAACCAGAGACCCUAGGAGAAGGUGGAUCAAAAGCUGGUUCAAGGUUAACUGUCCGAUAAGCACUUGUUUUUGCUUCUCUUGGUUCUACUUUUGUUUCUUUCUGCUGCUGAGCCUCAUCAUCUUUGCUGGUUGAUAUCCUCCUCAACUCCCCAGAUAACAGUUUGUCGUCCCAAACCAACCCUGAUGAGCCUUGUCUCCUGAAUGACAUUUCUGACCUCUGUAGUCCAGCCAUAUUAUUAUUUCGCUUGGUUUCUCUCAGUUUCCCUCUGAACUGUGAUCUGGGCCGGGCGUUUAGAUUUGUCCACUGUUCUUGAUCUACGGUGGUGGCAAUGAAAUUUGUUGAGUCCACCCCCACCAGGGUUUUGUUUCUGGAGACUUUAGGAAGCAGAUGAGCUGUAUAUAAAGAGGUACAAAGUGACAAAAGAAGAGCUUGAAUAUUAGAGGUCGUAAAACGGUAUCGGUUGAAUUGAAAGCUAUGUUUGUACACAUUUGCCCCUUUGAACCGUGUGAAUUUUAUCUGUUUACUUGUCCGUUAAUUCUUGUUUGGUUGGCUGAAUUUCUAAAAAUCUCCUCCAUGACCUUUCAAAAAAAAAUCAUUUGUAUAUAGCUGUAGACUCCAUUAAAACUUUUCCAUUGACGUUGCUUUAGUAAAUAUGAUGACUGCGUGGAAGAAAAAUCAGAGUCAACGCUACUCAGCUGCCACUUACGCCAUACAAGUUUCGUAUAUAUGAUUAUGUUAUAAUUGAUGUUCUGCCAUGGCCCUUGAACUAAGCUUGAAUUUUCCAUGUUUAUUAUUGCAUGGUGUCCUGCCUGCCAAGAGCCAACUUGACUUAUUCAUGACUGGUUCCUUUUUGGCUUACGAACAAAUCACCAUCGUUCCAUCACACAAAUACACUUGUUUUUUGGGCUGGUGAAGCUGUGUGUGGGCGAAAAUGGUACUCUAAAAACUUUUCUUUUUUUUUUUUUAUUUAAGAAAAACUCCAAACUUUACAAAGAGACAGCGAAAUAUAAGGAUUUGAUAGGCGAAUAGGAGGUUUUAUUCAGUCACUUGACUCGUGUCCUUGCUAAAUAACUCAGUAAGUUGAGUUUUGCAAACGUUACCCCAAAUAAUUAUUAACAAUUGAUGAUAAGGGCGUUUAAAUAUUGGAAAUCUUAAAAUCAUCCAGACACAACACAAGGGAGCAAUUGGAACCCACAUUCACUUUUCUUUAAAUAUAUCCAUAUAUUACUAUAUAUAUAUAUAUAUAUAUUAUUAUCACAGGAAAUAUUCUUUUCGGACUAAUUUUCCUGUGCCUGUACACCCGGUCCCCAAGAUACACAAGAAGGGAGAAGAAGUCGAACCGCGAUUACAUGAUGUCAGGACCUAACGAGAAUACCCCAACACCAGCCAAGCCGACCCCGAGGGGCUUCAUAUACUACUAUAUAGUAUGUAAUAAAUUCCAAGUACUGAAGCUUGCAUAUCCAGCAAUCCUCUGCCACUCGUUCGCAAAAGCAAUUGAAACUUUCAGGUCAAAUAUGUGUCACGAUGGCAUGAUUCUUUUGAGGAAGCAGAACCAUGGGUAGAUUACUAAAAUAGAGCAGCCGCAUCUGAUCUGAUUCUAUGAAACGAAGAAAGCAGCCGUUAAGUAUCGUAGGGAGUAAUAGACUAUAGAAGCAUAUACCUUGAGAUUAUCGGCUCUCUGUUCAGGUGUCUAUGGUUCUGCUGCUCCUCCUUGUAUUAUUGACUUGUGUUCUACAAUUAUCUGUUUCGGUAUUCUCGACAAGAUUUGGGCACAAGCUCCAAAUGAUGGAAUCAGGAAUUUAAUACUACGAAAAUCGAGCUGGACACUUUUUUUUUUUUUGAACUGUAUUUUAGUCUUAUUGCCUACAUUUUUGUUGGAUUCCUUAGCAAAAGGUAAGAUAAACAUUGCAAGCUUGUAUACUAGAGUCAGGAUUUAGGAGCAUAAAUCAGUUUGGCGAACUAUGGGUCUUGCCAGAAUUUAUAUAUGUUUUUGGUAACACUUGUCCAGACUGAUUCAACCUUGGCCGAAAGGCAAAAAGUCAAUAACUGUUCCAAGCUUAGCGGCAUUACGAAUAUGAGUUCCAUAUUCGUUGUCCAAAUAUUUUGACAAUGCUUGCGACGCCACCUAUUUUCCGCACUACACAUUCAUAUUCUAGUUUACCAUCCUCAAGGUAAAGCUAAACUCACGAAUUAUGCUUGUUUAUUAACGUAGUUCCUUUUUUUUUUUGGCCCACAAAAAGGAAGAAGAAAAACUGGCAAGAAAAAGGCUUUAAUAUGACUAUUCUCACUUGAAAAGUAGCGUUUACUUAAAAGGAGUAAUUUAAGUCAAUAAUUUGUUGGCUUUAACUUUUAGUAUAAAAUUGAACCAUAAAUAAAAGAAUUUGUCGGGUCAAAACGACUGAAAAUUUCAUUAAAAAAAAAUACUACUUUAAUUGUUUCUCAUGUAGACCAAAAACACACGAAACAAUAAAAGAAAACCCCCCCAUUAGCAAUUUCCGUAUAAAAACCUGCGGCAGGGUUAGCUACUUGCGGUUUUAUCGACGAAUUUUGGGUAGCGUUGGCCAAUCCUGGGUUUUGGGAAAUAUGCCAAAUCAUGAUGAUCACCCCUACCGGCUGUCCUUUUUUUUUUUUUUAUCAAAACAAAUAAUAAGUAAUUUUAUAGAUUAUCAAAACUUUACAGCUGUACUCGAGUAAUCUAUACAAGCAAUAUAUUUUGACACCGAGGAAUCCAAAAUUCCUCAUUUUAGAUUAUACCUAUGUCAUAUGAACUAAUUCUAAUACAAAUAUGAUUGUGUUUCCCUCUCACAGGACAAAAGGAGCACAUUUGAAAUAACAAGCUUAAUUUGAUGAAUGUUUCCUACCGCCUUUCUUGAUCCUGGGCCAGUGCAAGUCAUCCCAGCCUGUUAUUUACAAGCUCUGCCUUUGUCCAACAGUUAUUAACCUUAGAUAACGGAGGAAUCCGCUGGCGUUAUCAAAUAGACCUACAUUCUUUCUUUUGGGGGGGGGGGGGGGGAAUGUAGGGGCCUGCCUUAGCUACGUGGGCGGCUUGGCGAUUUGCGUAGAAUAUCUAGUGUCCAGCAGUUAUAAAUAGGAAAUUCUGUUGUGCACUAGAAAGACCGGAAAUUCUGUUCGAGUGACUUGCCCCAAAUUUGCCACACACAAGAUCAGCCUUCAAAUCUCAUAGAGAGCAGAAUCAAAGGAAGCAUUUCAGAAAAAUAUGAGCAAUAAUUGAUGACAGAAAAAUACGACAGUCAUACCAAGGGAAGCUAUGAGCAACCAUGGAACCUGCAGUUUUACUAAAUGCAGUAUCCGCCAAUACAAUGUAGCAGUGAGAGGUAACUAAGUCUCAGGGUCGAAAACUUUCAUGUGCUAUCACUAUUUCUUUUUUUGUUCUUCCACAAGUCUAAGCAGGUAAGAUUAACCAAAGAGCAAGCUAGUUGCGUAGCCUUCCGAUUUACUCCUCUAUUAUUCCUGGGUAUUUUACACAAAAAGAAAC